rnacentral:rRNA from 1 species
AUGCUUCCAUAUUUAAUCUACAUGAUGAUGGACUGCGAAAAAAUGGGCUAUAGAAUCGACUGGCUUAAAAAGUUCAUGUUCCCGGUGAAUUUCAUGGAUUGCUGGUCGGUGUAUAUCCUGGAAAAGGAUAAGAAGAUUGUGAUGGUGCUUGAUCCAACUGAGACAUAUCCGGAAGAUGAGAUCAAGAUCAAGCACGAGCCGCUGGCAAAGAAGUUUCAGAAAAGGUUCUGCAACCUGUUUAAUGACGUGUAUGGUGCUGGAUUGGUAGAGACGACUGGGUCAUCUUUUGUGUAUCCUUUGGAGGCGCAGCACGAGCCAUGCAGUAGGUCAGUGCACCUUCAUCAUUGCCUUAGUGCCUCUGUUGUGGUUUGCAUGGAAGACAAGGGUGUCUAUGUUGUGCGCUACGUCCUGAACUUUACUGGUCUAUACCUACGAUAA